rnacentral:misc_RNA from 1 species
UUCAGGUCAUGGCAAGGUCGAGAGCGUGGAAUGUCCUUGAGGGCUCAUGGAAACUUUUACCCAAAAUCAUCAAUGGUGGUAUUGCUGGAAUUAUUGGUGUAACAUGUGUAUUUCCAAUCGAUCUAGUGAAAACGAGGCUGCAGAACCAACAAGUUGGACCAAAAGGAGAAAAAAUGUACUUUUCCAUGUUAGAUUGUUUUCGCAAAACAUAUGCAAGAGAAGGUUUUUUUGGCAUGUAUAGGGGAUCAGCUGUUAAUAUUUUACUUAUUACACCAGAAAAGGCUAUCAAACUUGCUGCAAACGAUUUUUUUCGGCAUCAUCUUUCAUCUGGCUCCGGUAAGCUAUCACUGCAAAGAGAAAUGAUUGCUGGUGGAUCUGCAGGAUUUUGUCAAAUAAUUGUCACAACUCCUAUGGAACUUCUCAAAAUACAACUACAAGAUGCAGGAAGAGUUGCCACUAAAAGUGCUGCUGAAGGAGGAACUGUUGUCAGCACAUCAGCUACUUCCAUAGCUUUGCAGCUUCUUCGCUCAAGGGGUAUAGCUGGAUUGUAUAAAGGAACAGCAGCUACCAUGUUACGUGAUGUUAAUUUUUCUAUUGUGUAUUUUCCAUUGUUUGCACAUUUGAAUGCUCUGGGGCCUCGAAAAAAAGACGGAAGUGGAGAAGCAGUGUUUUGGACAUCAUUUCUAGCAGGUUGCGUAGCUGGUUCUACUGCAGCAUUUACUGUUAAUCCAUUUGAUGUUGUUAAAACAAGACUGCAACUUUUGAAGAAAGCUAGUGGUGAAAUGACCUACUCAGGAAUUCCAGAUGCUUUUAUCAAAAUCUUCAAAACAGAAGGUUUUCAAGCUUUUUUUAAAGGAGCUGGUUGCCGGAUGAUUGUAAUCGCACCUUUGUUUGGAAUUGCACAAACCGUUUAUUAUUGGGGUGUGGCAGAAUGGUUGUUAGGCAAAAAGAAGAGAAUAAUUAAUUGUGCUUGAAAUUGCUGUUCAUAGCAUAUUUGACUCUUGGUUGUCAUUUACUGAUAUAUACCUAUUUUCUUAUACCCAAUCCCUGCAUGCAGUGAUGAUUCAGGAAACUAACGGUUUGCUGAAGAAGCAAAG